UCGAGAAUUUUUCACAAUGGGCGCAAGCCUGAUGGAGCGACGCCGCGUGGGGGAAGAAUGGCUUCGGCCCGUAAACCCCUGUCAUUUGCGAGCAAUGCCUUUUGAUAAAUAGUCAGGAGGUUGAUAGUAGCAAAAGAGGAAGGAACGGCUAACUCUGUGCCAGCAGCCGCGGUAAUACAGAGGUUCCAAGCGUUGUUCGGAUUCACUGGGCGUAAAGGGUGCGUAGGCGGUUGGUUAAGUCUGGUGUGAAAUCUUCGGGCCCAACCCGAAAACUGCAUUAGAUACUAGUCAACUAGAGUGUUGGAGGGGGGACUGGAAUUCUCGGUGUAGCAGUGAAAUGCGUAGAUAUCGAGAGGAACACCCGUAGCGAAGGCAAGUCCCUAGACAAUAUCUGACGCUGAGGCACGAAAGCUAGGGGAGCAAACAGG
rnacentral:rRNA from 1 species